UACGGGGGGGGCAAGCGUUGUUCGGAAUUACUGGGCGUAAAGGGCUCGUAGGCGGCCAACUAAGUCGGACGUGAAAUCCCCAGGCUCAACCUGGGAACUGCGUCCGAGACUGGAAGGCUUGAAUUCGGGAGAGGGAUGUGGAAUUCCAGGUGUAGCGGUGAAAUGCGUAGAUAUCUGGAGGAACACCGGUGGCGAAGGCGGCAUCCUGGACCGAGAUUGACGCUGAUGCGCGAAAGCCAGGGGAGCAAACGGG
rnacentral:rRNA from 1 species